GGCCUGUUAGUGUAAUGGUUAUCACGUUAGUCUCCGAUUAGUGUCAAAAUUGGUUAGCUAGAGGUUCCGGGUUCAAGUCCCGGGCGGGUCG